AGGAUAAACGCUGGCGGCGUGCCUAACACAUGCAAGUCGAACGUCUCUUCUUUCGGGAAGAGGAGUGGCGGACGGGUGAGGAACACGUGGGAACCUGCCCUUUAGUGAGGAAUACCGGCGAGAAAUCGCCGACAAGACCGCAUAGCCCUCGAUGGUGAGAGCCAUCGAAGGAAAGCUUCGCAAGAGGCGCUAGAGGAGGGGCCUGCGUCCGAUUAGCUAGUUGGUGGGGUAGGAGCCUACCAAGGCGUCGAUCGGUAGCUGGUCUGAGAGGACGAUCAGCCACACUGGGAUUGAGAACGGCCCAGACUCCUACGGGGGGCAGCAGUGAGGAAUUUUCGUCAAUGGGGGCAACCCUGAACGAGCAACGCCGCGUGCAGGAAGAAGGUUUUCGGAUCGUAAACUGCUUUUCUCGGGGAAGAGAAUGGACGGUACCCGAGGAAUCAGCCCCGGCUAACUACGUGCCAGCAGCCGC
rnacentral:rRNA from 1 species